rnacentral:tRNA from 1 species
AAAUAGAAAGCAAAAUUUGCAUUUAGUUUCGACCUAAAAGUUUGAUGAUUAUCAUCUCUAUUUU